AAUGUUACUCUUUAGCUCUGAGAGUUUACACGUUGGAAAAUGAGUCUUCAACGCAUCACUUUGGAUUUAUGGUCCUUGGUAGCAGAUUGGCCUGUGACCAUGUCUGUGAGAGACUGUCUUGAUUGAUGAUGAUUGCAGGAAGGUCAACCCACUGUGGGCGGUGUAAUCCCUAGCAGGAUGACCUUCUUCUGCUAGCUCCAGGCUGCACCUCAUCUGCUGCUGCUCUCAGCUGAGCACAUCUAUGAUGAUAGAAAAAUACUAAGAAGGUCUCUUAAAAUCCAUCACCAUUGAGAAGAAUGUAUCAACAGCA